UUUGGUUUUUCUAAGUAUCAGCUAUAGUAUUUCAGCUCCAUCAUGUUUUCUUGCAUGACAACAUACUGCCUCCUCCCUCAACCCCAAAGCCUAUAGGUAAUGUCUCUGCCUGAUCUGGGGAUAGAACCUUCAAAACUACACACCCAAAUCAACCUUUUCUCUUUGCAGGUACAGACUACAGCAACAAAAAUAUGGCACAGUUGUUGUUUCUGACCUCUAACCGGCUCCAUGUGGCACCUGAGAGAUGGAUGUAGAGCUUCAAGGCUUUCUCUAUACUGCAAAGCAAUUUAUUCUGUAGUCUAAAGAUCCAGGUCAGAUGUGUUGGUGUUACACAAGAGGGUAACUUAGAAGCUGCAGCCCCAAGUCAGGACAUUCUCUAGAGAACCAACACUAUUUGAUGCAGAAGGUAUGAGUUAAAAAUAGAGUGACUUAGGAUUUCUAUUCUAUGCACAAACAUCAUGACCAUGAAGCAAGUUGGGGAGGAAAGGGUUUAUUCAGCUUACACUUCUCAUAUUGCUGUUCAUUACCAAAGGAAGUCAGGACUGGAACUCAAGCAGGUCAGGAGGCAGGAGCUGAUGCAGAGGCCAUGGAGGGAUGUUACUGGCUUGCUUCACCUGUUUUGCUCAGCUUGCUUUCUUAUAGAACCCAAGACUACCAGCCCAGGAUAGCACCACCCACAAUGGGCCCUCCCCAAUUGAUCAGUAAUUGAGAAAAUGCCUUGCAGCUGGAUCUCAUGGAGGCAUUUCCUCAAGGGAGGCUCCUUUCUCUGUGGUAACUCCAGCUUGUGUCAAGUUGACACGCAACACCAGCCAGUACACAGAGGAAGAGCACUGGAAUGUUUUCCCGGACUGAACCUGCCCAUCUGGGUCCUGAGAGUCGCAUGAAUUAGAGAAAACCGAGUGAAAACAAGAAGUAUUUAUUUCCCCUAAUAACCUUAGUGGGAUGGAUUUCCCAAGGUCAUUUAAAAGGGAAGGAGAUAUAGAUGGUUCACAUGUUUCUGUAAGAUAGCUCAAGUUCUCAGAGUCUUUAGUAAGCACAUAAACAUCCUGUAUAAGCUGACUGUAAACCAUCAGUUCUGGAAGGCUCACCAUAUGCCAUAGCUGAGCCUCUGCUAAACUUGGAUCCCCUCAUUCCAUCUAACAGACAUUCCAGGACCAGGCUUAUACGGAACAUGGCUUCAGAAAUGCUAGUAGGGCAGAAAGUACUACCUACUCUAG
rnacentral:lncRNA from 1 species